GAUGAACGCUAGCGGGAGGCUUAACACAUGCAAGUCGAGGGGUAACAUUACUUUCGGGUAGAUGACGACCGGCGAACGGGUGCGUAACGCGUAUGCAACCUACCUUGUACAAAAGGAUAGCCCAUGGAAACGUGGAUUAAUACUUUAUAGUACUAUAAAACUGCAUAGUUUAAUAGUUAAAAUUUCGAUGGUAUAAGAUGGGCAUGCGUAUGAUUAGGUAGUUGGUGAGGUAACAGCUCACCAAGCCGACGAUCAUUAGGGGUUCUGAGAGGAUUAUCCCCCACACUGGUACUGAGACACGGACCAG
rnacentral:rRNA from 1 species